UACAGAGGUCUCAAGCGUUGUUCGGAUUCAUUGGGCGUAAAGGGCGGGUAGGCGGCCACCGCAAGUCGACUGUGAAAUCUCCGGGCUUAACCCGGAAAGGUCAGCCGAUACUGCGGGGCUAGAAUGCAGAAGGGGCAACUGGAAUUCUCGGUGUAGCGGUGAAAUGCGUAGAUAUCGAGAGGAACACCUGCGGCGAAGGCGGUUAGCUGGGCAGUUGCUGACACUGAGGCGCGACAGCGUGGGGAGCAAACAGG
rnacentral:rRNA from 1 species